rfam:Pteropus alecto contig168552, whole genome shotgun sequence.
CUCUAUGGCCACGCCACCUUGAACAAGCCCCAUCCCAUCUGAUCUUGGAAGCUAAGCAGGGUCGGGCCUGGUCAGUACUUGGAUGGGAGACCACUUAGGAAGACCAGGGGCUGUAGGCG